rnacentral:tRNA from 1 species
UACGUUUUAGUAUAUGAUGUACAUAAGUUUUUGAUACUUAGGGAAAUAGUUUAACUCUAUUAAAUGUAG